rnacentral:rRNA from 1 species
AACGAACGCUGGCGGCGUGUUUAAGACAUGCAAGUCGCACGGUGUCAUUUUGGUAGCAAUACUUGAAUGGCAUAGUGGCGCACGGGUGAGUAACACGUGAAUUACAUGCCCUAUAGAGGGGGAUAGCCCAGGGAAACUUGGAUUAAUACCCCAUGGUCUCGCAAGAGUAAAGGUGGCCGCAAGGCUGUCGCUAUAGGAUUGGUUCGCGCCCUAUCAGCUUGUUGGCGGGGUAACGGCCCACCAAGGCUACGAAGGGUACCUGGUCUGAGAGGACGAGCAGGCACACUGGAACUGAGACACGGUCCAGACACCUACGGGUGGCAGCAGUCGAGAAUAAUUCACAAUGGGGGCAACCCUGAUGGUGCAACGCCGCGUGGAGGAUGACGGUCUUCGGAUUGUAAACUCCUGUCAUCCGGGAGUAAGACCUGGGAGUUAAUAGCUCACAGGGUUGAUAGUACCGGAAGAGGAAGGGACGGCUAACUUCGUGCCAGCAGCCGCAGUAAUAC